CCAAUGCUAAAAUUUCUUCUCAAGCUUCUCCUAUUCUUCUCCAAUUCUCCUCUUGUAGUUCUGAAGCAAUGGAUGAUGGUUAAAUCUUCUGCAGAUGAAUACUCAAAUGAUCGUGGACUGGACAGUCAAAUUUCAAAGUUGAUGGGUCAUAUUGGUUUUGCUCACAUUCUAAACAUUAAAAGUAUCUAUUUGAGAAGAGAAAGCUGAUGGUUGAAGAUGCUCCACCCAGUUGGAACCUUCAGCAGCGUCAUAUCUGCUUUCGUUCUCCAUUACUGGCGAUCAACGCCAUCAUCAACCUCUCUGAUAUGUUGUGAAAGCCAAUGUUCUCAAGUUGAUGCCCUCUACCGUCCCCCUUGUUGUGAUUCUAUGGUCUCUCAUCACCUCAUGUUGUUGUAUGUCGCCACCAAAGGUUGUCAUAUUGUAUGAAAUGUAUGUAUGAUAGUAUUUAUCUGCGAACAACAAGUUAUCACGUAUGACAGAAAUGUUGAAUCUCAAUUGAUAAUAAAAGAAUCUCGAACUUCCUUACCACAGUUUACCUGAAUGUAAAAUAUACGCAAGACUUGAUAGAACAAAUGUUUUGAUUAUUAUUGAAAUGUAAAA